ensembl:snRNA U6 U6 spliceosomal RNA
GUGCUCACUUCAGCAGCGCAUAUACUAAAAUUGGAAUGAUACAGAAAAGAUUAGCAUGGCCUCUGCGCAAUUGUGACAUGCAAAUUCAUGAAGUGUUCCAGAUUUUU